UACGGGGGGGGCAAGCGUUGUUCGGAAUUACUGGGCGUAAAGGGCCAGUAGGCGGCCAACUAAGUCGGACGUGAAAUCCCCAGGCUCAACCUGGGAACUGCGUCCGAUACUGGAUGGCUUGAAUUCGGGAGAGGGAUGCAGAAUUCCAGGUGUAGCGGUGAAAUGCGUAGAUAUCAAGAGGAACACCUGCGGCGAAGGCGGGUUGCUGGGCUGACACUGACGCUGAGGCGCGAAAGCUAGGGGAGCGAACGGG
rnacentral:rRNA from 1 species